rnacentral:rRNA from 1 species
AGAGCGAACGCUGGCGGCAGGCCUAACACAUGCAAGUCGAGCGCCCGUAGCAAUACGGGAGCGGCAGACGGGAUAGUAACACGUGGGAACGCGCCCUUCGGUUCGGAAUAACUCAGGGAAACUUGAGCUAAUACCGGAUACGCCCUUACGGGGAAAGAUUUAUUGCCGAAGGAACGGCCCGCGUCCGAUUAGCUAGUUGGUGAGGUAAUGGCUCACCAAGGCGACGAUCGGUAGCUGGUCUGAGAGGAUGACCAGCAUCACUGGGACUGAGACACGGCCCAGACUCCUACGGGAGGCAGCAGUGGGGAAUAUUGGACAAUGGGCGCAAGCCUGAUCCAGCCAUGCCGCGUGGAUGAUGAAGGCCUUAGGGUUGUAAAGUCCGUUUAACGGGAAGAUAAUGACGGUACCCGUAGAAUAAGCCCGGCUAACUUCGUGCCAGCAGCCGC